rnacentral:rRNA from 1 species
AGCGAACGCUGGCGGCAGGCCUAACACAUGCAAGUCGAGCGGGCGCCUUCGGGCGUCAGCGGCAGACGGGUGAGUAACGCGUGGGAACGUGCCCAUCGGUUCGGAACAACCCAGGGAAACUUGGGCUAACACCGGAUACGUGCGAGAGCAGAAAGAUUUAUCGCCGAUGGAUCGGCCCGCGUCUGAUUAGCUUGUUGGUGAGGUAACGGCUCACCAAGGCGACGAUCAGAGCUGGUCUGAGAGGAUGAUCAGCCACACUGGGACUGAGACACGGCCCAGACUCCUACGGGAGGCAGCAGUGGGGAAUAUUGGACAAUGGGCGCAAGCCUGAUCCAGCCAUGCCGCGUGAGUGAUGAAGGCCCUAGGGUUGUAAAGCUCUUUCGCACGCGACGAUAAUGACGGUAGCGUGAGAAGAAGCCCGGCUAACUUCGUGCCAGCCGCCGCUGUAAG